rnacentral:rRNA from 1 species
UACGUAGGUGGCAAGCGUUGUCCGGAUUUACUGGGCGUAAAGAGCGCGCAGGCGGUCGUUCAAGUCGCGUGUGAAAGCCCCCGGCUCAACUGGGGAGGGUCACGCGAUACUGAUCGACUCGAAGGCAGGAGAGGGUAGUGGAAUUCCCGGUGUAGUGGUGAAAUGCGUAGAUAUCGGGAGGAACACCAGGUGGCGAAGGCGACUACCUGGCCUGUUCUUGACGCUGAGGCGGCGAAAGCUAGGGGAGCAACGGG